AUGGAUUGGAAUCCCAAGGUGUUAUGUUGGAAUGUGAGGGGGUUAAACAACCCAGCGAAGAGGAAUGCCAUGCGGGAGUUUCUGGGUGAAGCCAAAGUGAACCUAGCGUGCUUGCAAGAAACGAAGCUUGAUUUAAUUAACCCUUUUAUAGUGAUGCAAUGUAUGGGGCCAUCGUUUGAUGGUUUUGCCUACCUGCCGGCGUCUGAUACUCGGGGAGGUAUUCUCUUGGGGUGGGACACGUCGAUGUUGGAGGUGGAUAACGUUGUCUUCGAUACUCAUGCCCUAACGGGAAUGGUGCACACUAAGGAAGGGUUUUCAUGGUGGGUGACAGUAGUUUAUGGUCCGCAAGGGGACGAUGAGAAGAUGCAAUUUCUGGUCGAGCUUCACAAUAGACGUGCUGUUUGUCUGGGGCCUUGGAUGGUGCUCGGUGAUUUUAAUAUGAUCUUACGUGCAGAUGAGAAGAAUAAUAAUAAUCUUAACCGGAGGAUCAUGAGAAGGUUUAAAGAAUUUGUAGAUGAUUGUGAGCUCAAGGAACCAUAUAUGCAUGGGAGGCGGUUUACAUAG
rnacentral:rRNA from 1 species